rnacentral:rRNA from 1 species
GACGAACCGUCCGAACGUUAUUCGGAAUCACUGGGCUUAAAGGGUGCGUAGGCGGCGCAGUAAGUAGGGUGUGAAAUCCCUCGGCUUAACCGAGGAACUGCGCCCUAAACUACUGUGCUCGAGGGAGAUAGAGGUGAGCGGAACUUAGGGUGGAGCGGUGAAAUGCGUUGAUAUCCUAAGGAACACCGGUGACGAAAGCGGCUCACUGGAUCUCUUCUGACGCUGAGGCACGAAAGCUAGGGUAGCGAACGGG